GACGAACGCUGGCGGCGUGCUUAACACAUGCAAGUCGAACGAAGUGGCGAACGGGUGAGUAACGCGUAAUCAACCUGCCCUUCAGAGGGGGACAACAGUUGGAAACGACUGCUAAUACCGCAUAAUGAAGGAGGGGAUUGCGUCUGAUUAGCUAGGUGGAGGGGUAACGGCCCACCAAGGUGAUGAUCAGUAGUCGGUCUGAUAGAAGGAACGGGCACAUUGGGACUGAGACACGGCCCAGACUCCUACUGGAGGCAGCAGUGGGGAAUCUUCCGCAAUGGACGAAAGUCUGACGGAGCAACGCCGCGGGAGGGAUGACGGCCUUCGGGUUGUAAAGCUCUGUUAAUCGGGACGCGGUACCGGAAUAGAAAGCCACGGCUAACUACGUGCCAGCCGCCGCGGUAAUUC
rnacentral:rRNA from 1 species